UCCGGUUGAUCCUGCCAGAGGCCGCUGCUAUCCGGCUGGGACUAAGCCAUGCUAGUCUAGGGGCUUGUACCCCUUCGGGGGUGCAAGCACCGGCGGAAGGCUCAGUAACACGUGGACAACCUGCCCUCGGGUGGGGGAUAACCCCGGGAAACUGGGGCUAAUCCCCCAUAGGUGAUGGGUGCUGGAAUGCCCCAUCUCCGAAAGCGCUCAGCGCCCGAGGAUGGGUCUGCGGCGGAUUAGGUAGUUGGUGGGGUAACGGCCCACCAAGCCUAAGAUCCGUACGGGCUGU
rnacentral:rRNA from 1 species